GAGAGAAAGAGAAAGAUGGAAAAGGAAGUGAAGUAAUAAGAGAUUAUAUAUUACAAGCUCAAAAUAAUAUUGAUUGAUACUCAAACAGUAAAAGCAAGAUAAUUCAAUCCAAAAUUAAUGUGCUUGUGGGAGAGAUGCAUGUAAUGAUGAAGAAUAAUAAACCAUGAGGUACAGCAUGGAUAUGGAUCAUAUUGGCCACAGAACUAAAUCUUUGGUUUCAUGAAAUUAAAUGAUAUUAUAUUGCUUCAAGCAUUGGAGAGAAACAAAAACUUGCUUCAUUCCAAUUAACUUAACAUUACAUUAUCCAAUUUAAUUUUUAAUUUUGUUAUUAAAACAAAAACACAAGAAGAUAGUUUCAAGGAUCUUUUGUGGAUUACUAUGUUAUGUCAGUUCU